UAGGGCGUUUGGACUUUGACCCGAGGGUGGUGACACACAGUGGAGGGCAUGACAGAAUAACAAUUGGUAAUCUACAGGGACCCUUGCAGCUGCGCGAUGAAGGAUGAACUGAAUGACAGCGUUCAAGAAGAGAUCCAGCCAACCAGGAUACAUCUGCAUCUACACACAAGAGAUAUUUGAGGGUGCGUCACACAAUUCAUGGCUACGAUCUUUGGGACGAUCACCAGGCCUUUCUUCUGACGCGCCUCACAGUGGAUUUGAACCCCUCACUUUUCACCCCGUCGUCAAGCACUUAACUGGGUCUCCACGGCUGAGCCUCGGUUGAACUCCUUAGGCCCGUUGAGCAGAGAGAUGUGAGGAGCCUGCCUAUCAGACAGAGUCCCUGGGGAAGAAGACUGCUGCAGCAAAGUCCAUCUUUCAGGGAGAGAGAAAGAAACUGAUUGAUGAUCGCUUCUCCCCCAAAUCCUCUCUUCGCGGGCCAUGUCUUCUCGCUGCAACGUGCCAGGCACAGCCUCAUCGCCCCACCUGGUGGCAGGUUACCUUACCUGCAGGGAAGGCCGCCUGCGUCGGGCUGAGUUUGCGGACCCACGCCCAGGAAGGGCCACACUUGUUUUCUUUCGUUCUUUUCCUAAACAACAUCAAUCCAGCGACUUGUCCUGAUGGUCGUAGAUCCCAAAUUAGUGGAGUCAACACUAAUGAGGUUUUUCGGGAAUGAGUCUGAGACCAAACAUGAUGGAAAAUCCACUAAUCAACUACAGAGGACCAAGUCACCAAAUCAUGGCUCCGGCCCAGGGCUUCUGGGUAGAGACAGGUGCGACGACCUGCGGGGCCCACUGCCCUUCCUGCUUCCUCUACCCUGUGCCCUGGGCUCGGGGCCUCUUAGCACCCAGCGCCUCCUGCCUCUCCCCCCUCUUCCCCCACCAAGGCUGAGCCGGGUCUCCCUUCAGAGGGCCCAGUACGUCUUAAGGCGAAAUUUCCUGGAAAUUAUGAAAUAGGACCCGCAGUAGCGAUGUUUUCUCCCCAGUUCUGGGAGGUGGUGAGGGGGCGGGUGCUGAGGGAAGGAAGAGUGGUAGAAGAGGCAGACAAAAUGCACAUUCUACUCAGGUC